UACGUAGGGGGCAAGCGUUGUCCGGAUUUAUUGGGCGUAAAGGGCUCGUAGGCGGCCAACUAAGUCAGACGUGAAAUCCCUCGGCUUAACCGGGGAACUGCGUCUGAUACUGGAUGGCUUGAAUCCGGGAGAGGGAUGCGGAAUUCCAGGUGUAGCGGCGAAAUGCGUAGAUAUCUGGAGGAACACCGGUGGCGAAGGCGGCAUCCUGGACCGGCAUUGACGCUGAGGAGCGAAAGCCAGGGGAGCAAACGGGGA
rnacentral:rRNA from 1 species